rnacentral:rRNA from 1 species
AGAGUUUGAUCCUGGCUCAGAGCGAACGCUGGCGGCGUGCUUAACACAUGCAAGUCGAGUGCGCGUCUGUAGCAAUACAGAUGGCGCACGGCGCACGGGUGCGUAACACGUGGGUAAUCUGCCCUUCGAUGGGGAAUAACUCCGGGAAACCGAAGCUAAUUCCGCAUAACAUUCCUUGAACCUCGGUUUAGGGAUUCAAAGCCGUAAGGCGUCGGAGGAGGAACCCGCGCACGAUUAGCUAGUUGGUAGGGUAACGGCCUACCAAGGCUUUGAUCGUUAGCUGGUCUGAGAGGAUGGCCAGCCACACUGGAACUGAGACACGGUCCAGACUCCUACGGGAGGCAGCAGUGGGGAAUCUUGCACAAUGGGCGAAAGCCUGAUGCAGCGACGCCGCGUGGGGGAUGAAGCUUUUCGGAGUGUAAACCCCUUUCGACCCGGACGAAUACCUCGCAAGAGGGGUGACGGUACGGGUAUAAGAAGCCCCGGCUAACUACGUGCCAGCAGCCGCGGUAAGACGUGGGGGGCCAGCGUUGCUCGGAAUUACUGGGUGUAAAGGGUUCGUAGGCGGUGUAGCAAGUCGGGAGUGAAAUCUCUGGGCUCAACCCAGAGACUGCUUCCGAAACUGCUGUGCUUGAGUGUGGGAGAGGCGCGUGGAAUUGCAGGUGUAGCGGUGAAAUGCGUAGAUAUCUGCAGGAACACCCGUGGCGAAAGCGGCGCGCUGGACCACUACUGACGCUGAGGAACGAAAGCUAGGGGAGCAAACAGGAUUAGAUACCCUGGUAGUCCUAGCCCUAAACGAUCAGGACUUGGGGUGCCGCACGUUCGUGCGUCGUCCCGGAGCUAACGCGUUAAGUCCUGCACCUGGGGGAGUACGGUCGCAAG